rnacentral:rRNA from 4 species
UGACGUUAGCGGCGGACGGGUGAGUAACACGUGGGUAACCUACCUAUAAGACUGGGAUAACUUCGGGAAACCGGAGCUAAUACCGGAUAACAUUUGGAACCGCAUGGUUCUAAAGUGAAAGAUGGUUUUGCUAUCACUUAUAGAUGGACCCGCGCCGUAUUAGCUAGUUGGUAAGGUAACGGCUUACCAAGGCGACGAUACGUAGCCGACCUGAGAGGGUGAUCGGCCACACUGGAACUGAGACACGGUCCAGACUCCUACGGGAGGCAGCAGUAGGGAAUCUUCCGCAAUGGGCGAAAGCCUGACGGAGCAACGCCGCGUGAGUGAUGAAGGGUUUCGGCUCGUAAAACUCUGUUAUUAGGGAAGAACAAACGUGUAAGUAACUGUGCACGUCUUGACGGUACCUAAUCAGAAAGCCACGGCUAACUACGUGCCAGCAGCCGCGGUAAUACGUAGGUGGCAAGCGUUAUCCGGAAUUAUUGGGCGUAAAGCGCGCGUAGGCGGUUUCUUAAGUCUGAUGUGAAAGCCCACGGCUCAACCGUGGAGGGUCAUUGGAAACUGGGAAACUUGAGUGCAGAAGAGGAAAGUGGAAUUCCAUGUGUAGCGGUGAAAUGCGCAGAGAUAUGGAGGAACACCAGUGGCGAAGGCGACUUUCUGGUCUGUAACUGACGCUGAUGUGCGAAAGCGUGGGGAUCAAACAGGAUUAGAUACCCUGGUAGUCCACGCCGUAAACGAUGAGUGCUAAGUGUUAGGGGGUUUCCGCCCCUUAGUGCUGCAGCUAACGCAUUAAGCACUCCGCCUGGG